AGUGGAGUUCUUCGGAACAAAGCUAGCGGCGGACGGGCGAGUAACACGUGGGCAACCUGCCUCAUAGAGGGGAAUAGCCUCCCGAAAGGGAGAUUAAUACCGCAUAAGAUUGUAGCUUCGCAUGAAGUAGCAAUUAAAGGAGCAAUCCGCUAUGAGAUGGGCCCGCGGCGCAUUAGCUAGUUGGUGAGGUAACGGCUCACCAAGGCGACGAUGCGUAGCCGACCUGAGAGGGUGAUCGGCCACAUUGGGACUGAGACACGGCCCAGACUCCUACGGGAGGCAGCAGUGGGGAAUAUUGCACAAUGGGGGAAACCCUGAUGCAGCAAUGCCGCGUGAGUGAUGACGGCCUUCGGGUUGUAAAGCUCUGUCUUCGGGGACGAUAAUGACGGUACCCGAGGAGGAAGCCACGGCUAACUACGUGCCAGCAGCCGCGGUAAUACGUAGGUGGCAAGCGUUGUCCGGAUUUACUGGGCGUAAAGGGAGCGUAGGCGGAUUUUUAAGUGAGAUGUAAAAUACCCGGGCUUAACUUGGGUGCUGCAUUUCAAACUGGAAGUCUAGAGUGCAGGAGAGGAGAAGGGAAUUCCUAGUGUAGCGGUGAAAUGCGUAGAGAUUAGGAAGAACACCAGUGGCGAAGGCGCUUCUCUGGACUGUAACUGACGCUGAGGCUCGAAAGCGUGGGGAGCAAACA
rnacentral:rRNA from 1 species